UAGGAGGAGCAACUAUCCUGGUUUGCCUGAGACUGAGUGGUUUCCUAGGAUAGGAGAUGUUUAGUGCUAAAACCAGGACAGUUCCAGGCAAACCUGGAUAGUUGGCCAUCCUGCAUGUUU
rnacentral:pre_miRNA from 3 species